GCUAGCUCCUUCCUCAGGUGCGGUGGUGUGGGGCCAGGAUUAUUUCUGUCCUGGCUGGGGGCAGGCUCUGAGCCGGGUCCCUCGGCCACAAAGCAGGCAGGGAAGGGGUUUCUGAGGCACGGCAGGAAUGGAAAUGUCCCCACAACCCUUGGAGCUGGCCCAGAGAGAUGUGGUUUGUGAGUGAGAGCAGCCAAGGGAACACCUGCAGAGGGUCCUGGUCCCGGUGUGUAAAAGCAGCCCUGGGAAUGGGAGGGAAGGAAGAGGAGACAUCGCACAUCCCUGCCCAGGACUCGGGGUCUGGCCCAGCUUGUCCCCAACUGGCCUCCCCAAAUUGAGCACAGGCAGCCCCAGGAGCUGGAAAUGACAGGCAGGCUGACCUCCUAAUGGACCCGACUGACAGAGAAUCCAUUUCCUGAGAGCAGUACCUCCUUCGCGCUGCGCAGGUUCCUAUCACGCUUCCUAAUUACUGUAAUUAAGCAGUCAUGCUGAGUGAUGUUAGACAGAGGGUUCGGAGUCGUUGCAGGUCUGCAGAAGAUUAAACCAGUCCUGGCUUCAGUGCCUGAGCUCUCCUCGGUGAUGGCGAUGAUGAAGAUGGGAGCUGCUGAUGAUGGGAGCUGGAGACAGAGCUUCAUGGCACGGGGUCAUGGCAUUUGUCACGGCUCGGGGGUCUGCCCUUGUCACUUGUGGCAGGAGGGGACACAGCCCUGGUGCCCUGCCCAUGCUCUGCAUCCCUGCAUCUCCUGCAGACAGACAACUGCCCUGCCUGGUGGUUUUGAAGCUCUGGAAGGGGCAGGUCGUUGUGUGCAGCACAGAGAUGCUCAUAGCCUGCGAGUCUAUUUUGUCAGUUUGUCAAGCAGAAGAACAAAAAUGCAGCUGGAUUUGUGCAAGGGAAGGGUCCUGCGAAGCAGAGGGGAGUCCAGCUCCACAUUAUUCACUCGGUACCCACCAUUUAUCUUCUGGCUCCCUUGAGCUAGGGGGUCUGGGGUUGGUCUAUAACCACCUACGUCAAUACCAUGGUGAUCAUGGAGCUGGAAUCCAUUUCUCUAUGGUUUUAUACUGCAGCCUGAUCAGUUUAGCGGUGGCCUUCCCCGAGGCGCUUGCUGACAAUAGCAGAGGACUGGAGACAGCCGUUUAGUCCCACAGCUGCAUCCCACCCUCCUCAGCCUCUUUUUCCCCUAAAGGGCACCCGGGGUUUUGCAGAUGUCCUUCUAUUCACACGGACAGUGAGACAUGCUGAACAAGAGUCCGUGGCUCAGUUCGUAUACAAUUGGCAUCUAAUUCAUUUCUCUGUGAAUGUGAAAAUCAAUACUGUGUGCAGAAUGCACAAAGACUCUCCUAUCGGUCAGUGUCCCUUUUAGAUUCAUUCCUGGCUGCCAGGAGAUCCUUGCAGGAGGUGGCUCUGGGAGCUGAAGAAGAAAAACGAUGGUCCUGUUUCUCUAAUGAACCCUGAGAAGACUCUAAGCUUCUGCCCCCAGUAGAUGGGAAGCGUUUCUUGGUAAUCAGCUGUAUGAGAUGGACUGGAUUUCCUUGGAAUUUUGCCUGGCUAGUCAAAUUCUGGGCCUUGGUUUUGCUCCAGUUAAGGUCAAAGUGCCUCCUUCCACAUCCAGGAACACGCAUCCCUUCAGCAGAUGUUAAAUGACUUCAGCUCUGUUUGUGCUAGCGGAUUUUGUGGGCGAAACCAUAGAAGCCAAGUUUCAUCUGUCCCAGAGCAUCAGAGCUCCGCAGCUCCCUGCAGCUCCCCGUGCCUCUCGUUGGAUCUCUAGCAAACAUCUCCAAAAAACCUCUCAGCCUCCACCUCCCACUCCCUCCGCCCGUGCCAGGAACAGCUCCAGCCCUGCAGGUCGGCGCAUCCAGCGAUAUCUGUUUUUCCACCUGGAGACCUUCCAGGGCUUUGCACAGCUGCUGACAGCUUUCCCCUUCCUCCCUGCUCAUCCUUUCGGUGAGCCACGGGCUCAGCCCUCAGCUUCCAGAGCUCCUCUCGUGCUGCAGUUUCGGGGCACCACUUGCAGCCAGCAACUUUUCGCAGGGCAGGACCCCCAGGCUGAAGGCUCCAAUUUGCAGCUGCUCCUUUUGCAGCCUCCGCUUCCCAAAGCCUGCGGCACGGUUACUCACAGCCCAUCCCUGCCUAUCGAUGAUCAACCAGCUGGAGUGUGAUUGCUCGUUAUGUCUCAGGGUGUGCUGAUAAAUGGCACUGGUAGGCUGGCCAUUUUCCAGUCGUCGGGCCCUCGGCACCAGAAAUCCUUUAUUUUAUUUUUCCCUAAUAACAAUAAUAAUAAUAAUGAUAAUAACAAUAAUAAAGCAGCCCUAGACUUUAACAUUAAUGUUAGUUUUACCUUUCCCUUUCUUUCCUCUGCAGUCGAAAUAGAUGGGUGUUGCUAGAGCAAAUACCUGCCACGCUUUUUCCCACUGUUUCUCUUCUGUGUGGUUUUUACCCCAUGGUUUGAGCUGAUGCAGAACACAUUCCUCUGGACUGAAAAUUCUUUUUUUUUUUUUUUUUAAUGCAGUCACAGAACUCCACAGAAAUUUUUAGACUUUUUUUUUUUUUUUUUCUGAGCACUGAACUCUUCUCUUCCUAUUCAGUCUGCUAAUUAUCCUUUUUAGCUUGCUUUUGCUCUGUUUUCACAGAUCUCUUGGUUUAUUUAUAUCUACCUAUCUAUAAUGAUU